UACGGGGGGGGCGAGCGUUGUUCGGAAUCACUGGGCGUAAAGGGCGCGUAGGCGGCCCGCACAAGUCUGCGGUGAAAACCCCCGGCUUAACCGGGGCCGGCCGUGGAAACUGUUGGGCUGGGGGCUGGGAGAGGGCAGCGGAAUUCCCGGUGUAGCGGUGAAAUGCGUAGAGAUCGGGAGGAACACCGGCGGCGAAGGCGGCUGCCUGGACCAGUCCUGACGCUGAGGCGGCGAAAGCUAGGGGAGCAAACAGGG
rnacentral:rRNA from 1 species